rnacentral:tRNA from 1 species
GUUUAUAUAGUUUAAAUUAAAACCUUAUUUUUUCAAAAUAAAAUUAAAAUCCUUUGUGUUUUUAUAAAUA